rnacentral:rRNA from 1 species
GGCAGACGGGUGAGUAACACGUGGGAACGUGCCCUUUGGUUCGGAACAACUCCGGGAAACUGGAGCUAAUGCCGGAUACGCCCUUCGGGGGAAAGAUUUAUCGCCAAAGGAUCGGCCCGCGUCUGAUUAGCUAGUUGGUGGGGUAAUGGCCUACCAAGGCGACGAUCAGUAGCUGGUCUGAGAGGAUGAUCAGCCACACUGGGACUGAGACACGGCCAGACUCCUACGGGAGGCAGCAGUGGGGAAUAUUGGACAAUGGGCGCAAGCCUGAUCCAGCCAUGCCGCGUGAGUGAUGAAGGCCUUAGGGUUGUAAAAGCUCUUUCACCCACGAAGGAUAAUGACGGUAGUGGGAGAAGAAGCCCCGGCUAACUUCGUGCCAGCCGCCGCGG